rnacentral:rRNA from 1 species
ACGCUCGACACCUACGGGAGCAGCAGUGGGGAAUAUUGCACAAUGGGCGAAAGCCUGAUGCAGCAACGCCGCGUGAGCGAAGAAGGCCUUCGGGUCGUAAAGCUCUGUCCUCAAGGAAGAUAAUGACGGUACUUGAGGAGGAAGCCCGGCUAACUACGUGCCAGCAGCCGCGGUAAUCUGAGCGGGCUGGCAAGGC